rnacentral:rRNA from 1 species
GACGAACCGUGCGAACGUUAUUCGGAAUCACUGGGCUUAAAGCGCGUGUAGGCGGGCCAUCACGUCGGUCGUUAAAAGCCCCCGGCUCAACCGGGGAACCGGCGCCGAUACGAGUGGCCUGGAGGGGGGUAGGGGGACCUGGAACUUCCGGUGGAGCGGUGAAAUGCGUUGAGAUCGGAAGGAACGCCCGUGGCGAAAGCGAGGUCCUGGACCCCAUCUGACGCUGAGACGCGAAGCCAGGGAGCGAACGGG